UACGUAGGGUCCGAGCGUUGUCCGGAUUUAUUGGGCGUAAAGAGCUCGUAGGCGGCUCAGUAAGUCAGAUGUGAAAACUCAGGGCUCAACCCGGAGACGCCAUCUGAUACUGCUGUGGCUUGAGUCUGGUAGGGGAUCGCGGAAUUCCUGGUGUAGCGGUGAAAUGCGCAGAUAUCAGGAGGAACACCAAUUGCGAAGGCAGCUCGCUGGGACGUAACUGACGCUGAGACGCGAAAGCGUGGGGAGCAAACAGG
rnacentral:rRNA from 1 species